GAUAAGGUAAGCUAAGUGUAAGCUGUUGGGUUCAUACCCCGAAAAUAAAUAGUAUAUAUUUCUUUAUUG
rnacentral:tRNA from 1 species